GACGUAGGAGGCGAGCGUUAUCCGGAUUCACUGGGCGUAAAGCGCAUGUAGGCGGUUCGAUAAGUCCGCUGUUAAAGCCCCCGGCUCAACUGGGGGAGGUCAGUGGAGACUAUAGGACUUGAGGGCAACAGAGGCACGUGGAAUUCUCGGUGUAGCGGUGAAAUGCGUAGAUAUCGAGAGGAACACCUGCGGCGAAGGCGGGUUGCUGGGCUGACACUGACGCUGAUGCGCGAAAGCUAGGGGAGCGAACGGG
rnacentral:rRNA from 1 species